GACCUCUGGUAUUCCUUCAGAAGUACUGGUAUCGAAAGUUUAUAGAAGUUUCCCAGGACUGCUGUAACAAGUUACCAGAAACUGGGUGGCUUAAAAUAAGAAAAAUUACUCUCUCACAGUUACAGGGGACAGAAGUCUGAAAUCAAGGUGUCAGCAGGAUUCCCCCUUCAAAGGAUACCUCUGAUUGAAUUUAAGGCCCAUCAGGAUAAUCUUCUUUUCUCAAGAUUUUGCCAUAUAAGGUAAGAUUCACUCUUUUGCAAUAAGGUAGUAUUCACAGUUUUUGAGGAUAAGGACCUGGACAUAUCUUUUGGGAGGCCACAAUUCAACCCACUACACCCACUAACACCCAUCAGACAUGUAGUAGCAAAACUGAUUAAUUUACUCUUCCUUUCUAUCAUUAUUAGAGGUG